rnacentral:rRNA from 1 species
CGCUUAACUCGGGGAUAGCCUUUCGAAAGAAAGAUUAAUACCCGAUGGUAUAAUCAGACCGCAUGGUCUUGUUAUUAAAGAAUUUCGGUUAUCGAUGGGGAUGCGUUCCAUUAGGCAGUUGGUGAGGUAACGGCUCACCAAACCUUCGAUGGAUAGGGGUUCUGAGAGGAAGGUCCCCCACAUUGGAACUGAGACACGGUCCAA